AAGUCGUAACAAGGUAACCGUAGGUGAACCUGCGGUUGGAUCAUUAGCGUUUUUAGCAGCGCGCCGUUGUUGUGACCGUUUGUGGAGGGUAGUGUUUCGUUUUGGUUUUGGGUGUGGUGUUUGUCUUGUGUGUUUGUCUUUUGUGUUUUGUCUUGUCUUUUGUCUUUUGGUUGGUGUUUGUCUUGUCGUUUGUGUUUCAUCUAUAUCUAUAUCUAUAUCUAUGACCACAUCGACAUGGACAUCGACAACCACAUCGACAACCACAAGCCUCAUGGACAUCGACAUGUCCAUCGACAUGGACAACCACAAACCUCAUGGACAGCCACUUCCAAAACUGAAACACGACUCUCGACUACACGCCAAUAAACACUUUUCUUUGCUUUGAUUUCGACUAAACUAAAACAACUUUUGACAACGGAUCUCUUGGCUCUC
rnacentral:misc_RNA from 1 species